CACGUAGGAGACGAGCGUUAUCCGGAUUUACUGGGUGUAAAGCGCGUGUAGGCGGUCGAGUAAGUUGGAUGUGAAAGCUCCCGGCUUAACUGGGAGAGGUCGUUCAAUACUGCUUGGCUAGAGGACAGCAGAGGGGAGUGGAAUUCCGAGUGUAGCGGUAAAAUGCAUAGAUAUUCGGAAGAACACCAGUGGCGAAGGCGGCUCUCUGGGCUGGUCCUGACGCUCAGACGCGAAAGCUAGGGUAGCAAAC
rnacentral:rRNA from 1 species